AAUUUGAAAGAAAUUGUAUUGAGAAGUAAUCUCUAUGGAGUUAGAACCGCAUCAAUUUGCGUCAAAGGUCCUAGAUACAUAACUGCCCAAGAUAUUAUCUUACCGCCUUCCGUAGAAAUCGUUGAUACGGCACAACCUAUAGCUAACUUGACAGAACCCACGGAUUUCCGUAUUGAGUUACGGAUCAAGAGAGAUCGCGGAU
rnacentral:misc_RNA from 1 species